UCGUCCUUUGUUGGAGGAAUGCUACCAAGGACGAAUUAAGGCUAACCUUGAGUUUGCCCUCACUGUUGACGAUUUCAACGAGCUGGUUGAUCCUCGUCGUCUGUACGAGUGUUGUCUUGGACCUGAGCCUUCUGCAUACGUUUUGAAGAAAAUUGCCCAAGAAGAGAAGAAAAUGGCUACUAGGUACAACAAAGACAAGUAUGCUCGUGUUAAGAGAUUGAAGAAUGAAUGCUUAUCUCUCAUUACCCCUGGAUCAAAGAAACGCAGGCUGGAUGAAGGGAAGGAUAAGACCCCUACCCUCUAGUCACUUUUUGGCACACCUUCUCUCGAGAUGAUGACCUUCAGUCCUCCGACCACACCCUCUAAAGGGAAGGCCAAGGUUGGCAAGAAUGUCUGAGACGACCCUGCUAUUGCCCUUGGAAGUGCUCAUAAUGUUGUCACUGACAAUGAGCUUAAGGGUUUCUCAUCUAUCCCUUCUCAUGAACUAAUUAGCCGUCAUAUUCACAAGUUAGUGCAGGUUCUUGGUGAGUCCCUUCGUUUAACGAUAGACUACUUGAGCAGCAAGGAGAAGGUAGUGGUAGCCAACUCCAAGGUUGAUUCUAUUGAGGUUGAAAGCUCAAGGUUGAGGAAGGAUCUGAUUGAAGCUAUGGAUCAGUCGACCAUGGCCAAGGAGAAGGUGAAAGAACUGAAAGAAGCACUGAAGGUUUAGAAAAAGCUCGUCAUUCAAGAUGAGGAAGUUCAAGCUACCUUCCUUUGAAUGGACGAAGAAUGUGAGAAAGUGAUUUCCAAGUUCCUGGAGUCUGAUCGCUUCUCCAAAAUGCAAUUUGAGCAGUACUUCAAGGGCUUCGAGCUUCUUUAUCGGUGGAUGAUGAAGCACCAUAGCCAUGUAGCUAAUUUUGCGAAUCUGGACUUUGAAGCUAUUGAUACUGAGAUCCUUGCUAACGAGGCUAAUGAGAAGGAAGGUGAAACCAUUGCUAAAGCUACCGAGGUUGUUGAGGGAGAAGGUGCCGCUAUAGGAGGAGCUAAUGAUGAGGCUCAGACAGAGGCGAGUCGUGUUAAGGAGAUCAUCAAUGCUCCUUGAAGUAAAAAUUUAUGUAAUCUUUUCUUUUUGUUCCAUUUUAAAGACAAUGGAUGCCUCAUGUUUUGAGGCUUUAAAUUUAGAAAUGAUGGGUGCCUCCUGUUUCGAGGCUUUUACUUAUCUUGUUUUGAACUUUGAAGUUCUUAUGA